rnacentral:rRNA from 1 species
GUUAUCCGGAUUUAUUGGGUUUAAAGGGAGCGUAGGCCGCCCCUUAAGCGUGUUGUGAAAUGCGGGUGCUCAACAUCCGACUUGCAGCGCGAACUGGGGGGCUUGAGUGCGCCGAAAGUAGGCGGAAUUCGUGGUGUAGCGGUGAAAUGCUUAGAUAUCACGAAGAACUCCGAUUGCGAAGGCAGCUUACUGUAGCGCAACUGACGCUGAUGCUCGAAAGCGUGGGUAUCGAACAGGAUUAGAUACCCUGGUAGUCCACGCGGUAAACGAUGGAUGCCCGUUGUCGGCCUUUGUGGUCGGUGACCAAGCGAAAGCGUUAAGCAUCCCACCUGGGGAGUACGCCGGCAACGGUGAAACUCAAAGGAAUUGACGGGGGCCCGCACAAGCGGAGGAACAUGUGGUUUAAUUCGAUGAUACGCGAGGAACCUUACCCGGGCUUGA